GAUGAAGAACGUAGCGAAAUGCGAUAAGUAAUGCGAAUUGCAGAAUUUCCGUGAGUCAUCGAAUCUUUGAACGCACAUUGCGCCCAUUGGUAUUCCGAUGGGCAUGCCUGUUCGAGCGUCAUUAUCUUCCCUCAAACCUCGCGUUUGGUGUUGGGCCGUGCUGGUUCCUGCGUGACCAACUGGCCUCAAAGACAAUGACGGCGUCCGUGGGACCCUCGAUGCAACGAGCUUCUCAGGAGCACGCGUCGAGUUUCAAGGACCUUCCGGGCCGGUCUCUCCUCAAGUUAUUACAAGGUUGACCUCGGAUCAGGUAGGGAUACCCGCUGAACUUAAGCAUAUCAAUAAGCGGAGGA
rnacentral:misc_RNA from 1 species